AUUGAACGCUGGCGGCAUGCCUUACACAUGCAAGUCGAACGGUAACGGCGGGGGCAACCCUGGCGACGAGUGGCGAACGGGUGAGUAAUACAUCGGAACGUACCCAGUAGGUGGGGGAUAGCUCGGCGAAAGCCGGAUUAAUACCGCAUACGACCUAUGGGUGAAAGGCGGGGGAGUCGCAAGACCUCGCGCUAUUGGAGCGGCCGAUGUCGGAUUAGCUAGUUGGUG
rnacentral:rRNA from 1 species